CUAUUCGCACUGGCAUUGCUCCUGUCACUAUUCCUAAUCAACUUUUCAGCAGUUUGCCAAAACGACGACAUUAGCCUGACGUGCUACGGUUCCGAAGUGACUUCUGCUAAUUUCUACUGAAAGGCCUGAAGUGUGCAACAGCCUUUGACCGUUGCGAGCGUGCUAGGAUGUGGACACAGCUGAUAUUCGGAUUACUCUUCCUUGUUCCAUUCACGAUGCAAUAUUGUAAGUAUACUUUCUCGUAGAUGUAACGCUCGAAAUUUCUUCAUUGAUGUGGGCUAAGUUGCAUACAUAUCGUAGCCUUCCGCAUACCCCGCCAUGUUAUGUACCUUUG